UACGUAGGGUGCGAGCGUUGUCCGGAAUUAUUGGGCGUAAAGAGCUUGUAGGCGGUUUGUCGCGUCUGCUGUGAAAAUCCGGGGCUCAACCCCGGACUUGCAGUGGGUACGGGCAGACUAGAGUGUGGUAGGGGAGACUGGAAUUCCUGGUGUAGCGGUGAAAUGCGCAGAUAUCAGGAGGAACACCGGUGGCGAAGGCGGGUCUCUGGGCCGAUACUGACGCUGAGGAGCGAAAGCAUGGGGUAGCGAACAGG
rnacentral:rRNA from 1 species